AUGUGUGCGUGUGAGGUGGAAUGGACCACAGUGAAAGGAAUGGCUCCUAUUUAUAGUGGGGUUAGUAGCUAUGUCGGUUUGGAGAGGCAUUACAUCUGGCAUGCAUGCGUGGUUAGGCUUGCAUGCAUGCCUCCACUUGUGUCUCUUGUAGGCUGUACUAGGGACAAGUGUAAUUUGCUUGACUGGCCAUUAGUUGGCAUUUACUUUAUGUGGAAAAAAAUGAGACCAAGAUCUGAUUAUAAAUUUGUAGAAUAUAUGGAGGUUUGGAAAAUAUUUUGUUGUGCAUGGUCAAAUGCUAUUUGCUAUAAUAAAAAUUAA
rnacentral:rRNA from 1 species